rnacentral:rRNA from 1 species
UACAUGGGGUGCAAACGUUGCUCGGAAUUAUUGGGCGUAAAGCGCACGUAGGCGGAUUGUUAAGUCGGGGGUGAAAUCCUGGAGCUCAACUCCAGAACUGCCUUCGAUACUGGCGAUCUCGAGUUCGGGAGAGGUGAGUGGAACUGCGAGUGUAGAGGUGAAAUUCGUAGAUAUUCGCAAGAACACCAGUGGCGAAGGCGGCUCACUGGCCCGAUACCUGACGCUGAGGUGCGAAAGCG